rnacentral:lncRNA from 1 species
ACAAGAAAGUCCCCUGUUUGUCUGCAAAAUAAUAAAUAAUGGUCCUAAAUUCUUGGAAACAAGCAAAGAAGAGAUUCUGAGCAGUAAGAUGUGGUCAACUGUCUCAUCCCAGACAGGAACUGCUUCAAGGAGUGGCAAAAACAACUGUAAAUAGUAAAAAAUGCCUGGAAGAAUUAGUGUAAAUACAUAAAUAGUUUCUGUUGUGUGUUUGUUCCAAUCCCAAUAUUUCUUCUCCUGAUAGCCAAGACUUUGCUGGUGAGAAAAGACUUGGUCACUGUAGAUUUAUGUGUUUUUUGAGAGAUGUACUGUUGGGAUCAAUUUCCGUUUUUGUUUUUGUUUUUUGGUUGACUUUGAUGGUUCUAAAUCUACUGUCACAUUCAUGCUACAUAAUUUUUGCAUAAUUUUGACCAAAAAUAGCCAAAUAUAGCUGGGAGAUCUAAGGGUUAAUGAGAGAACAACUACUAAAGACAAAUAUCACAAUUUGGGUCAACUAAACAGAUAAACACGAACAUGAACCAGUAAUUAUUAAUCUUUUAAUUGUGGACAUCCAAAGCUGAUCAUACAUCAUGUCUAAGCUGGAGCACAGCCACCUGCUGUUAGCCGGAGCUACGACCAUAAUGCUAUUAUACUCUUUAUAAACAGGCAUGACAGAUGACAUCUCAACACUGUUCGGCUGUGUUUGGAUCUAGAUUAUGCGGAUAAGGGUUUGUGUGUAAACUGUGUACGGUGCGCAGAUAUCAACCUGCAGGGAUCUGGAGGUGCUAGCUCUGCAAGUGUAAACCACGCUCAGUAGAGCAUUUUGUGUUUUUAAUUGUUUGCCUGCAGACUUAUUACCUUCUAACUGGAAGGUUUAAAAAGGACUAUUUAAAAAAAUUCCUGGUAGAUGCUCAGCUCUAGUCCGGGUUCUUUAAAGGUCUCUAUAAAAACUUGAUGAGGGUCAGACUCAACGUUCUGAUCUCAUCCCUCAAACUUCUCCACCUGAACACACACUCCUCUGUUUCAGGUUCUUUUCUAACCCACUCCAUCACCCCCGCCGCCUGCGUACCUGUUUGCCUCUUUAUCCUUUGAGCCGCUGAUGUGCUCUCAAUGAUCUGGCCCCAUCUGCCCUGACCUUAUUCAGUCUCUCCAUCCUUCAGCCAGCCUAUCACUUUUUCAGUCUGCCUGCCUGUCAGAAUCACAAUCACUUGUUUUUCCUCUGUGGCCUCGUACCAGGAAUACAGAGGAGCCUGAUGCAGACACUUGUUAACACCUUUAUGAAACAUCCUGGAGAAACGUCUGUCUAGAUUCUCGGUCUUUUGAAAGUUUGAUCAGGCAGCGACUGGAAAUCAAAGACCAACAUCUAAAUAUGCUCGUCUGAUGAACUACACGCCUAAAUGACCAAAAUUAGUGGUGGUUGUAGUAGGGCUGGGUGAUACGGCUUCAAAUCAAUAUCACGAUAUAUUGAUCAGUUCAUCUCGAUAACGAUAAAUGGAAGAUAACUACUCCACAAGCCGCUCACCCCCUCCCACAUUAACUUCGUCUACUUCAGCCGCUACAACUUUUGAACUGUCCUCCAUCUCCUCGACUGUCUUUCCCUCUUUGUUACAGACUGGAUGGGGUGGAGUCACGUCUCUGAUGUAGGACAGCGUCUUAAAGGGACAUGAGACCAUAGCCUACCUACACACUAGAGCAUGACACAGGAGCAGAUUUAAAUAGUAAAAAUAUUAAUCCAGUCCUGUCCCACUCCUGUAGAAUGACUCCCACUCCCAUCCCGCUCCCACUCGAAAUAGGACAACGGAUGGAAAUUAGCCUUAGCUAACUCCGGCUGGUUUACAAUGAGAAUAGACAUACAUAUUUCUUGUAUCAUGUCUUCUUCUCCUUGUCCAUGAACUGGUACUGUCCUGUCUAAAUAAAUAAAUAAAUAAAUAAAAAUAAAUAAAAUGACUCUCACUCCCAUUUGAAUAAAACCAAACAUGUUGAAAAAACGUUGCAUUUUUUUAUUUUAGGUAAAAGUGGCAGCCGAGUCGGAGCGGCAGUCGCUCCGAGUCGCUUUUCACUUCCAGUGGUGACAGGAAGUCAAACCACUGUUGUAGUUCUUUUGUGUUGCUAGCGCAGUCAAGAGUGUUGGCUCUCACUGCAAGAUGACUACAAAAAUGGACGCAUCUGUUCAUCUGGUUGUUUAACACGGCUGAAAAUGAUCGUCUAUUAAUGAUAUAAUAAUAAUGAUAAUAAUGAUAAUGAACCAAAUAUCCUGGUAUGGGCAAAAUGCCGUUGGUUAUUGUCGUGAAUUUCGAUAGCGGUAAAUUUUCGGUUUAUCCCCCAGCCCUAGGUUGUACAUCAUCAUCACACCGUUAUUAGAGAUGAUCUGAGAGACACUGUCGGCGGUUUGAAUGCUGCGAACGUCCAGGUUUACUCGUCCAGAUUGUCUCAUUAAUGAGAGCUGAAUAGACUUGGCCGGUUCAGCGGUCGUCUCUGUGUGCACAGCUGCUCAGGCCGGACGGGGUGAGAGUAAGAUCGGAAAGCAGAGACACUGAGAGCUCGCUUUAGUCUCAAGGGCCCCUAUAUUUACUCCAAAUAAAUACACAUAAGCACUCGGUGAUCCAAUGAAGAAAUGACUUUCAACCUGCUUUUUUAGCCGUUAUGUAACCGAGUCAAACACCAGAGGAGGAACGAAGUCUCAGAUUUGGGACAAAGUGUUCUCAGAAAAGGGUUUUUGUUGUUCUUGAGGGAAGAUGGAGUUCAAGCCCAAGAAAUAGUUCUUGUUCUCCUGUUUGGAGCUUGGAUGAGUAUAUCUAAGCUGCCCACAUAUUUGAUAUUUAUGGAGGGCUGGAACACAGGUCUCCCCCUCCUCCUCCUCCUCCUCUUCCUCCUCCUAUACCAGUUCGGAGGAGAGGCAAAGAGGAUCAGCCAGGAUUUCUGAAGUGUCUGUUGUGUUGCCAUAGAUAGAACAUGCCAGAGGCUCUGAUGAAUAGAUAGCUAACAAUUUAUCUCCCUGCAGAUGGGACCCCCAGACUGGUAAACCCAACGCCCACGUCCCCUGCUCCCUUCGCUCCCCUCCUACGCUGUCUGUCUGUCUGGACGAAGGGGAACCUUCAGUGUUUCUGCCCCGGGGGUUGAGCGAGAUGCACAGCGAAGCACCAGAAUAGUAGGAUAUGUCUGCUCUUUAUUUUUAAACAAGGGGUGAAAAAUUAGCUCCCAGCAUGCAUGUCUGUAAACAACGGCGAGUUUGAACCGGCGGCUCCACUACAGGAGAGUUCACGCGCAGAUACACUCAGCCAACCAUGCCUGGAAGGAGCAGCUCACCGAGCACAACAUCUCCCAAAACAUCCAGGCUACGCUCAGACAGCAGGGAUCACCGAGGCCCAUGUGGUCCUGUCUUCUCUACUCUCUCUUUUGAGGGUCAUCUUCCUAAACUUCAGCCUUCGAAAACACAGAUAAUUUCCUACAUUGUGUCUCAGCUCUGCAGAAAUAAAACUUCACGAGCAGAUCUGAUGAAGCUUUUCUUCCAGCGCGCUCCGAGCUUUCUCAUCUGUAACUGGUCACCGUUAUUCAGAUUCAUUCUGGGGGAGAAAGGAUCAUCAUGGAUGCCUUUCGCUUUCAUUCUGCCUCCUGCAACUGAUGGCUAACAAGGGCUUAGGUUUCCAAAUCUGAGCUAACAAGGGCAGCGCCGUUCCCGUGGUUUUAGGAUUUAGUUUGGCCCCGAGGUAGAAAGGCUGACUAAUAACCAAAAACACAGAGCUGACUUCCACCGCCAACAUGCCCCAGGGAUUUAUUUUCUUACUUCACUGCUCGUUUGCUCAGGACAGGUAGGACUGAGUAGGAACAUCUGUGGGUAAAUCUGUAAAUAUUAGCGGUCUGUGGUCUUUGCUAUUCUUGCAGUCUGGGUAACAUGGUAAAACUCUCAGCAGAACGUGUUUACAUAACUCGCUUUUACUGUUUUCAGGCUUUUUUUAGACAAUAUUUAUGUGCCGCUGCUGCUGCUCUGGUUUCUUUUUCCCACUGAUGAUCAUAUGUUGGUGAAUUUUACCUCAAAGUUACCUGCUGAAUCUCCUGCAGAAGUAAAAAUUUGACUACUGAGUGUUUCAGGGGUUUUAAAGUCAAAUUUCAGACUUUUAAAGACUUUGCACAGUAGAGUAGUAAUAGUAAUAGUAAUUUAUGCAGCCAAGUCAUUUUAAAACUGCUUUUAAUACGAAGUUCCAUUACUAAAUUAUAAAUGCAAAGUUUGAAAGAAUGUUUACGCACUUACAAGUCACUUUAAAAUGGUUUGUUUACUUAAAAUUUCAACAUUUAAAACAAGUUACAGAAGAAAAAAGGGUUAUUACGUUAAAAAAAAGAUAAUUUUGAAAUAUUCAUUAUAUAUCUGAGUGUAAUUUUUAAUGCAUCAGAGUUUCAGUCACUGGCUGGGGUUCAUUUCAAUUUAAAGACGCUGUAAGGAGUUUUAACUGCUAAAGAAACAGUCUAAAUCUGAUCCUGACGCCUCUUUAGGAUCUUUAAAGCAAAUGAGACCAUGAUCAACGUUGCUGAACUUGUUUUAGUUUAAAUCCCUGUAAGGGGUUCGGGUGUCAGACCAGGUGAUUUUCAUGGCUAAUACUCACAGUGCGUACAAUCCUAGCCUAGUUAAACUCAUAAAGACGCUCCUAAAGCACUAAAAUUCUGCUGUACGGCUCUCUGUCUCCUCCAAGCGGUUGUUUAAAGGUAAACUGGAAGUUUUUAACUGGUUUAACGUCUGGUGGACAUCUGCAAAGAUCGGCGGAACUUGGGGGUGGGGCUUAGCCUCUCAUAGCCAAUGGUAACCAAAUUAAAGAGGAUACGGAGGCUAUUGU